AAUGGUUGAUGGCUUCUACUUUCACGAGAUACUUUUAUGAGAAAGCCAAAUAAAAUCCAUAGCAAAUACAUGAUAUAUGAUGCAUCGGCUAUCAGAUUAUCUAAAAUAUGAUUGCUUGAUCAAUUUCUUGUCGUCGUAGACAAUAAUUUUACUCAAACUUUGCUUGGCAAUUCGAUAACUAUGAGCCAAAAACCAUACUGACGAAUCCACAAACGUAACCACCGUAAUCAUCGCUACGUUGGAUUACUCCGAUGCGAAGAAUCGCGGGGCUCGGAACUCUAUCGCAAUACGAACUUUGCAUUCGGUGACAUGCCCAGCAGCCGUGAUAUAGAACGUGCCGAACGAAAUGGAAGAUUUAGAUCAUCUAGAAGAAGAGAGAGCAUUGGCAGUGAUAUAAAUCGUCACACCUUUGAAAAUGUUGACAAAAGGCACAGAAGGCAUGGAAAGAGUAAAAGUUCAGGGAAAAAGAAAAAGAAAAGAUCCAGAGACAAAUCACUAGAUAGUGUUCCAACUGUUGCAUCGUCUGUGAUAAAGCCACUGGUUGAAUACUCUGAUGUAAGCAGCGAGGAUCUUUCCGAACCAGAGGCUGGUGAGAUCCAAUCCGAAGACAGCAGAGCAAAUAGUUUCACAGAUGGAGAUCUUCAGGAACCUGUUCUUCAAAGACGGUACUAUGGCGGUAGUCCAGGACAAAACCUCGGAGCAUCCCCCAUCAGUUUAUCCCCUUCACCUCCCACCCAGGAACGACAUGCCAACCGAGAAUAUUCUCCUAACGCCGAGCAGCAGUCCAUGCACAGGUCGUCAAUCCCUCAAGAAUAUAGUGAAGAAACCCGGCAUUACCCUAGGAAAAAGGAAAAAAAACACAAGCGAGAAAGAAAGAAGAAAAGAAGUGCCAGCCCUUCGUCAAGUUCAAGUAAAAAGAAAAAGAGAAGGUCCAAGCGGCAAUCGCGUAGUCCUAGUCCCCAAAUGCCGGAGGAAAUAAUAAUUAGUCCGGAUCAUGAGAAACCAAUCGACCGCUGGCAAGAUUCUCCCCCUUUACCACUCAAAGACAGCACCUCUCCAAUAUCACCGGCAACUCCACAAGGACAGAGGUCUCUCAGCGAUAUGGACCUCGAAUCUCCACCUAGAGAUGCACGGGACAUAACGCCACCCUCGACUGUUGGACCUGUGCGUCACACAGAGUCCCCCCAUACGCCUCUACUGCCUCCUCGAAACGUGACACCAGAUAGUAACAAAAUUGGUCAUACUUUACAGAAGCAUAGUCCAGACAGACGAAAACAUAGUCCUAGUAUGCACAUGCGACGUAGUAGUAUUAGUCCUGGUUUGGGACCUGGAGGAGGACGUAGGCAGGGACAUCCUCACAGUCCUAGUCCUAUGUCAAGAAGAAGGGACCAUAGUCCUCCAAGGAGAAGAGAGUUUAGCCCUAGUCCUGUGGCACACAGGAUGAGGCACAGUCCUAGUCCCGUUCAAAUGAGACGGAGGGAAUUCAGUCCCAGUCCUGUAUCUCAUAGACGAAGAGGGGAACCAUUGCCUAGUCCUACACCGAGUAAACGAAGGAGAAGAGAGGACCCGGACCGGAGACACAGGCAUCACGAGAAAGAUCGUAGGGAUAAAAGAAAAUCUCGUGGGACAAGGAGUCCUGUGGGUAGCAGCAGGUUACCAAUGCCGCUAUCUCGUUCGCGAUCUCGAAGUCCCGGUAGAUGGAGACAAAAGCCAUCAAGGUCAAGGUCUCAUUCGCGCAGAAGGAGUCGCUCUCCUAAAAAAUCCCGAUCCCCGGGUAAAAUACACAAAUCAGCUAGGAAGCAUAAGUCUAAGAGUCCGCGUCCAUCGAGGAUACCAUCGCCAUCUCCGCAUAGAUCCAGAGCUCGCAGUCCAACUAGCAUUGCUGCAAGAAAUCUUAGAGGUCAUGCAAAGAUCAGCGAGACAAGUCUCUUUGCAGAACUUGUUAAAGACAGGAACAUGAGGGAACUUGCACUCAAAAAACUUCAAGCAGCCAAAGAAAAGGCAAUCAAUCAAGAUGAAGUACAAAUCAUAGAAGGCUCCGACGACAAAGAAGCCAGCAACACUUCGUCGGAACACAAACUAUCGAAUGAGAUCAAAGAGCUGUCAUCAGAAAACCGGGGACACUCGAAUAUUGUUUCCAUUAUAGAAGAUGGUGCAAACGUUGAUGUUGUGGACAUUCCUGUUCCUAACGCGUCGACCAUGUCCCUAGGAAUUAUGGAAGACAGCAAUUCAAUGGCGAGCAAGACGCCGCCAAUGCCAUCCAAUCAAUCUCUAGUUACUACCCCAUUGACACCGCUGACAAAUUUAACCCCAAUACCGACGUCAACUGUAUAUAGCUCCCCUAUACCAAACACUGGAAAUAAUUUCCCCAUUGCCACUGCUGGCAAUGGUAGCGCGAUUUUUCCGUCGUCGACAUCUGGCUUAACUGAUCCAAACGGGAUCGCGGGUCCAUCACAAAUACCUCCCCACUUGUCUGCCUCUGUUCCAAGCCAAGUCCUUCUCCCCAAUCUUUCGAUUCCACCGCCUCCAAUUUCAAUGCCUGCGGCAAACACUGCCAUUUCCAAAUUCAACACACCGAAUAAUCUAGUUCCUCUUAAGUCUAUAGAUCCUCCAAAACCACCUAUAGUUGCAUUUAAAACAAAGAGCUUAUCUAAGCUGCCGUUGCCACCUGGAAUAAAUCAAAACGAUCUAGAGAGCAUCGAUUCUCCGCCAAGCCGAUCCCCUAGUCCACCGAGCAAGGGACAGGCCAAAUCAGCCACACCAAAACCUCUGCUGAAAAAAGGCAUCAAAGAUCUGCCAAUGCCACCUGUUGUCCCUGGAUCGGACGACUUGAGCGGGGAAGAAGAUCCAAAUGCGACACCACCCCGUGGAAAGCUGGAUCGAAUUACCCCUAAACCAAAGUUGAAGAGGCCAAAAAUAUUGAAGAGAAGAGGUUCUCGUAAUUGUCAUACACCGAUGUCAGCCUCUGGUGGAAAGGACUGGGGUGAACGUUGCGUCGAUGUAUUUGAAGUCAUAGCGCAAAUUGGUGAAGGUACUUACGGUCAAGUGUAUAAAGCUCAAGACAAAAGGGCUGCUGUACUGGUCGCGCUGAAAAAAGUACGCUUGGAAAACGAAAAAGAGGGAUUCCCGAUAACCGCAGUACGCGAAAUAAAAAUCUUACGUCAACUCAACCACAAAAAUAUCGUCAACCUCAGAGAAAUCGUAACCGACAAACAAGACGCUCUUGACUUUCGAAAGGACAAGGGGUCGUUUUACUUAGUGUUUGAAUACAUGGACCACGAUUUAAUGGGGUUAUUAGAGUCUGGGAUGGUAGAUUUCAAUGAGAUGAACAAUGCUAGUAUUAUGAAGCAAUUGUUGGAUGGUCUGAACUAUUGUCACAGCAAGAAUUUCCUGCACCGAGACAUUAAGUGUUCAAAUAUAUUGAUGAAUAACAAAGGUGAAGUUAAACUCGCUGACUUUGGUCUUGCAAGAUUAUACAAUGCGGAAGAUAGACAAAGACCGUAUACCAAUAAAGUUAUAACAUUGUGGUAUCGACCACCUGAACUACUAUUGGGAGAAGAACGUUACGGACCAGCCAUCGAUGUAUGGAGCUGUGGGUGCAUACUUGGUGAACUGUUCUCUAAGAAGCCACUAUUCCAGGCAAAUGUGGAGAUGAUGCAGUUGGAAAUGAUAUCUCGUGUUUGUGGAACUCCGACACCAGCUGUGUGGCCAUCUGUGAUAAAAUUGCCGUUAUGGCAUACGCUAAAGCCCAAAAAGUCGCACCGGCGACGUCUGAGAGAGGACUUCUCGUUCAUGCCUACCUCAGCGCUGGAUCUUCUUGAUAAAAUGCUAGAGUUGGAUCCAGACAAGCGGAUCACAGCUGCUGAUGCGCUUAAAAGUGCUUGGCUCAAAAACAUCCAACCAGAACAGAUGCCAGCGCCCCAGCUACCAACAUGGCAAGACUGCCACGAGCUAUGGAGUAAGAAGCGCAGGCGUCAAUUAAGAGAACAACAAGAAGUUUCUGGAGGGAAGGUUCCGCUCCUCCCUCUACCCAACAAAGGUGGCCCCCACAAGGCUGUUGAAGAUUUGUCGGAUGUCGGGGGGUCAUCCAAAAGAUUAAAAAUGGAAGCGGGAUAUAAUUCGCAUGGAAAUCGUAUUGGUGCGGAACCUCCAUUUGGUGGAGAAAGCUUAUUCAAUCGCAAUGCUCCGUUUGUUGUCUCUCCCUCAUCUUAUUACUACAACAGUCCACCAUCCGUUAAAUUACGGACUAAUCAAAAACAAGGAGAAACUGGUUCUCACUACUCAGAGGCGAACACUGAGGACAAUCUGGUUCGAAGAUUGAAUAGCUUAGCCAAUGCUUUAGCUCAUGGCAGACCAAUACGUGUCGAUGACCUUAUGUCCCUCCGCUCCGAUAACGAAAGUGAUCACAAAGCAGCACAACUAGUGGGUGAUCUGCAUUCCGAGUUACGCCUCGCAGCUAGUGUGAGACCAACUGGCCGUCUAGAAUCUCACCUUCCAGUUUUCAAUCCACUGCCUACAGAAACGAAUGCAGGUCAAAAAGGUGGUUUUGAUGCUCAUGCCGUAUAUGCAGGAGACGACGCAGUCAGCACGGUUAGAUGGUCACAAUUGGCUACAGCUGGUGUUCGCACGGCGUUAUCUGCUCUUAUGUCUCGCUACGGUUUGGAAACCUACAAUCCUUCCCCUGCCACAACCCGACCCCCAGGUAAACCAAACAUGGGUCCUUUGCAGCCCCUUAAUCUCCCCUCAACUUCAGCCCAGACUUCAUUCGGCCCCCAAUAACAUUUUGUACAAAAAGAAUUAACUUAGUAUUGAUUUUCUUUGCAUCAAGGCGAGCAUUGUCGUUGAUGUGUCUGAAUUGUUUAGGCCCUAAAAAAAAUGAGGAUCAUCUUCAUAAUGACCUAACACAAUAAGACUUGACAUUUAAAAUUUUUUUCAAUGACUUUGUAGUUUUAUCGUUGUGUUCUUUUUUAAAUUACAACGUGAUUGAAUUUAAUCUUUCUAUUAAUUAGACUCAACUUAUUUAUUGAACAUUGUAAAAGUAAUAUAAUUAUUCAAAAAUAGCUCAGGGUGCUUCAGCUGUUUACUUUCUAUGACUUUAUCACAACCCAAUGUAGUUCAUGUGGGUGGGUUAAUUUCCGAUUUCGAAUUUAAUUUUGUUUUUUUCACUGAAUUGGCCAACUAUAUUUAACAUAAACAAUUCCCAAGGAUAUGAUCAUCACUUGGUAAAAUUGGUUCUUUCUUCAUUUUAUUCUUUAGCUUCAAUAAUUGUUACAAUAUCAUUAUUUCAAUGCAUAUUGUAGUAAGAUGAACAGCCGUUUAAAUGAUUCUAAAACCUAAGAACCUUUCAAGAAUUUUUAUGACUACAAACAAACUCUCACACAUUUUUGGUAAUGGAAAUACACAAUUGAAGCCUAAACAAAUCUGACAGGUGAAUGGCAACAAGUUGAUGCUAGAGAAGUGAAUUGUGUCUUCUGUGAAUAAUGCGAUAACACGUAGUCUCUGUAAAAAUAUUUAUGGGUGCAAUGUAAAUAUGUUUAAGGGGUACAAUAAUAUAAUAAAACAACAGCACAGCUUCACGAAAUCUACGGAAUAUAUCGUUCAUUAGAUUGAAGCUGUCAGAGAAGCUACUGUCAAAGAAAGAGGUUAAAAGAGCCGCAACGAGAUUUCUACAUACAUAUACAUCUAUACAUACAUGAAGC
rnacentral:misc_RNA from 1 species